AUGAUGGACAGCGGAUUAAGCCCACCUUACCAUGUGUACGUCAUCAAAUCAAGCGAUUAUAUCUUCUGCGUUAUAAAGCCAAUAAAUCAUCUUCUUAUUAUAUCAUCCACAGGGAGCAUAUCAGAAACAUAUGUCACUAAUGAGAGCUUUGCUUCAUAUAAUUUGUAUUAUACAAAGUCUACAUGUAGUAUUCUCUCAAAAUGAAAAUAUGUGUGCGCAUAAGGAAACGGAAAUGACCAUUACACGAAGUAUUGAAGUUUCUUUGGAAGGUAAUAUUGAGCAAGUAGACUGCAGUGGCAGAGUUACGGUUAAGCAAUGUGAAGGCAAGUGUGUAUCCAAUGCAAAACCAACUGUGAACAGUAACACUGGAAUUAAUAGGACAUGUCAUUGUUGCAGGGAAGAAGGACAAACGAGAAAAACUGUUAUUUUAGACGAAUGUUAUGACGGCACAGAAUUAAUUCCAGACUUCACACCAACGACUUUAAUAACAGAACCGUCUGGUUGUGACUGUAAAAAAUGUGGAAACUAAUAUAACUACAUGUAUCACUAAUAAUUAAUAUGAUACUGA